rnacentral:sRNA from 1 species
UAUUCUGCCCCACGGGGAAGGAUGAGAAGCUUCGACUAAGGUUCGACUCGAGCGUAGCGAGAGAACGUUGCCGCAGGCAACGGCCCGAAGGGCGAGGCGCGUUAGCGCCGAGUCAUCCUUUCCCCACCACCA